UUAGAUACCCCACUAUGCCCAACCGUAAACUUUAAAUUACACCUAUAUCGCCCGGGAACUACGAGCAAAGCUUAAAACCCAAAGGACUUGACGGUACCCCAUAUCCACCUAGAGGAGCCUGUCCUACAAUCGAUAACCCCCGCUUAACCUCACCAUUUUUAGCCCAUCAGCCUGUAUACCUCCGUCGUCAGCUUACCACGUGAGCGACCCUUAGUGAGCUUGAUGCCCAUACGCCAACACGUCAGGUCAAGGUGCAGCAGAUAAAAUGGGAAGAGAUGGGCUACACUCUCUACUCUAGAAAACACGGAAGAUUAUUUAUGAAACCUAAUCAGAAGGCGGAUUUAGUAGUAAAAAGAGACAAUAGUGCUCUUUUUAACAUGGCACUGGGGUGUGUACACACCGCCCGUCACCCUCUUCAAAGCUGGUAUAAAGUCCCUAACACACCUGAGCAUUAUAGAAGAGGCAAGUCGUAACAUGGUAAGUAUACCGGAAGGUGUGCUUGGAAA
rnacentral:rRNA from 1 species